rnacentral:snRNA from 1 species
GGAUGUGAGACAGAUCUGGCUGCAAUAUCUGUCACCUCAUUGACCGCCAGAGUUGAUUUGGCUGAUCUGGAUGGCUAGGCAGGUGGUCCCUUCCUCUCUCAAGGCUCCAUGAGCGUCCCUCCCAAAGCUGCAUGCUCAGUCGAAAAGAAGGAAUAUACCCCAUAGAAGAGGACUGGUCAAGGGUAUAGGAGUAGCUGCGCGCCCUUGUUAACAAGCUCUCAAGGUCCUCCAAACAAGCUCCGGCCUGUUUU